CCUACGGGUGACAGCAGUAGGGAAUAUUGCUCAAUGGGGGAAACCCUGAAGCAGCAACGCCGCGUGGAGGAUGAAGGUUUUAGGAUUGUAAACUCCUUUUGUUAGAGAAGAUUAUGACGGUAUCGAACGAAUAAGCACCGGCGAACUCCGUGCCAGCAGCCGCGGUAAUACGGAGGGUGCAAGGCUUAAUCGGAAUCACUGGGCGUAAAGGGUGGAUAGGCGGGGUAAUAAGUCAGAUGUGAAAUCAGGUAGCUUAACUACAGAACUGCAUUUGAAACUGUUACUCUGGAGUGUGGGAGAGGUAGGUGGAAUUCUUGGUGUAGGGGUAAAAUCCGUAGAGAUCAAGAGGAAUACUCAUUGCGAAGGCGACCUGCUGGAACAUUACUGACGCUGAUGCACGAAAGCGUGGGGAGCAAACAGGAUUAGAUACCCCAGUAGUC
rnacentral:rRNA from 1 species